rnacentral:rRNA from 1 species
UGGGGAAUAUUGGACAAUGGGCGCAAGCCUGAUCCAGCCAUGCCGCGUGAGUGAUGAAGGCCCUAGGGUUGUAAAGCUCUUUCACCGGUGAAGAUAAUGACGGUAACCGGAGAAGAAGCCCCGGCUAACUUCGUGCCAGCAGCCGCGGUAAUACGAAGGGGGCUAGCGUUGUUCGGAUUUACUGGGCGUAAAGCGCACGUAGGCGGACUAUUAAGUCAGGGGUGAAAUCCCGGUGCUCAACCCCGGAACUGCCUUUAAUACUGGUAGUCUUGAGUUCGAGAGAGAUGAGUGGAAUUCCGAGUGUAGAGGUGAAAUUCGUAGAUAUUCGGGGGAACACCAGUGGCAAAGGCGGCUCACUGGCUCGAUACUGACGCUGAGGUGCGAAAGCGUGGGGAGCAAACAGG